rnacentral:rRNA from 1 species
UACAGAGGUCCCAAGCGUUGUUCGGAUUCACUGGGCGUAAAGGGUGCGUAGGUGGCGGGGUAAGUCUGAUGUGAAAUCUCCAAGCUUAACUUGGAAAUGGCAUUGGAAACUACCUUGCUAGAGGAUUGGAGGGGAGACUGGAAUUCUUGGUGUAGCAGUGAAAUGCGCAGAUAUCAGGAGGAACACCGGUGGCGAAGGCGGGUCUCUGGGCCGAAAUUGACGCUGAGGAGCGAAAGCGUGGGGAGCAAACAGG